UACGUAGGUGGCAAGCGUUAUCCGGAAUUAUUGGGCGUAAAGCGCGCGCAGGUGGUUUCUUAAGUCUGAUGUGAAAGCCCACGGCUCAACCGUGGAGGGUCAUUGGAAACUGGGAGACUUGAGUGCAGAAGAGGAAAGUGGAAUUCCAUGUGUAGCGGUGAACUGCGUAGAGAUAUGGAGGAACACCAGUGGCGAAGGCGACUUUCUGGUCUGUAACUGACACUGAGGCGCGAAAGCGUGGGGAGCAAACAUU
rnacentral:rRNA from 1 species